CAGUAGCCGCGGUAAUACGUAGGUCCCGAGCGUUGUCCGGAUUUAUUGGGCGUAAAGCGAGCGCAGGCGGAUAGGUCAGUCUGUCUUAAAAGUUCGGGGCUUAACCCCGUGAUGGGAUGGAAACUGCCAAUCUAGAGUAUCGGAGAGGAAAGUGGAAUUCCUAGUGUAGCGGUGAAAUGCGUAGAUAUUAGGAAGGACACCAGUGGCGAAGGCGACUUUCUGGACGAAAACUGACGCUGAGGCGCGAAAGCCAGGGGAGCGAACGGGAUUAGAUACCCCUGUAGUCCCUGUCUCUUAUACC
rnacentral:rRNA from 1 species